rnacentral:rRNA from 1 species
AGCUCCAAUAGCGUAUCUUAAAGUUGCUGCAGUUAAAAAGCUCGUAGUUGGAUCUCAGUCUCGAUCGAGCGGUCCGUCUUCCGACGGUACUGCGCGAAUCGGACAUUCCGCCGCGUUUCUCCUCAUGCCCUUAAUUGAGUGUGAGGGGAGAGUGGUACGUUUACUUUGAAAAAAUUAGAGUGCUCAAAGCAGGCCAUGGCCUGAAUAGUCGUGCAUGGAAUGAUGGAAUAGGGCCUCGGUUCUAUUUUGUUGGUUUCCGGAACUCGAGUUUUCA